rnacentral:rRNA from 1 species
GACGAACGCUGGCGGCGUGCUUAACACAUGCAAGUCGAGCGGAAAGGCCACUUCGGUGGUACUCGAGCGGCGAACGGGUGAGUAACACGUGAGUAAUCUGCCCCUGGCUUUGGGAUAGCCACCGGAAACGGUGAUUAAUACCGGACAUGACACAUUCUCGCAUGAGUUUGUGUGGAAAGUUUUUCGGCCAGGGAUGUGCUCGCGGCCUAUCAGCUUGAUGGUGAGGUAAUGGCUCACCAUGGCUUCGACGGGUAGCCGGCCUGAGAGGGUGACCGGUCACACUGGGACUGAGACACGGCCCAGACUCCUACGGGAGGCAGCAGUGGGGAAUAUUGGACAAUGGGCGGAAGCCUGAUCCAGCAACGCCGCGUGAGGGAUGACGGCCUUCGGGUUGUAAACCUCUUUCAGUACCGACGAAGCGCAAGUGACGGUAGGUACAGAAGAAGCACCGGCCAACUACGUG